GUCGCUGGAAUCUCCUCAGCGGCGCGGAUCGCCGGGCCAAGAAAAGCGAAAAUGGAAACGAGCCCCCGCGAUCGUGCGCAAACACUCGGUCGGUCUGAGCGGGCGAGACGCAAGCGGCGAAGGAAGCAGACCAAGUUGUACAGUUUCAAGCGUGCGCGUUUGGAUUUUGAAUGACGGCGGUCUCCCUUACAAGAACAACAUCCUUCGUCGCGGGGGUGCAUCUCACUUUCCCCGACUGAUCAUAUCGUAAACAUGAGUCUCUUUUGACAGCCUCAUUUUAGCACAACAAGAAGACUCAGCACUGUAAAAGGUGCAAAUGGACGGAUGGAAGGAUGGAUGGAUGAAAACCAGACACUCCACUCAGCUGGAUCGCUAAUGUCAUCCUCAACAGUACCACUGACGGCCGGUCGCCAGAGGAGCCAAUUUCUCUCCCACAUGAUUUAUUCCAAAUAAUGACCCUUAAUAAAACACUUCUAUCUAGUUGACCUCCGGUGUCACAGUUGUAGCAUUCAGAAGCAGUGGGCUGACUGAACGCAUGAACCAAAAUAGAUUACCGUAUGAAAAUGUGUGAGAUUUCAUAUUUAUGGGCAAGU